rnacentral:rRNA from 1 species
UACGUAGGGGCAAGCGUUAUCCGGAUUUAUUGGGUUUAAAGGGUGCGCAGGUUGUUUGAUAAGUCAGUGGUGAAAGUCUGUCGCUUAACGGUAGGAUUGCCAUUGAUACCGUUGGACUUGAAUAUGGAUGAGGUAGGCGGAAUGUGUAGUGUAGCGGUGAAAUGCAUAGAUAUUACACAGAACACCGAUUGCGAAGGCAGCUUACUAAUCCAUCAUUGACGCUGAGGCACGAAAGCGUGGGGAUCAAACAGGAUUAGA